GAUGAACGCUGGCGGCGUGCCUAAUACAUGCAAGUCGAGCGAACAGACGAGGAGCUUGCUCCUCUGACGUUAGCGGCGGACGGGUGAGUAACACGUGGAUAACCUACCUAUAAGACUGGGAUAACUUCGGGAAACCGGAGCUAAUACCGGAUAAUAUAUUGAACCGCAUGGUUCAAUAGUGAAAGACGGUUUUGCUGUCACUUAUAGAUGGAUCCGCGCCGCAUUAGCUAGUUGGUAAGGUAACGGCUUACCAAGGCAACGAUGCGUAGCCGACCUGAGAGGGUGAUCGGCCACACGGGAACUGAGACACGGCCCAGACUCCUACGGGAGGCAGCAGUAGGGAAUCUUCCGCAAGGGGCGAAAGCCUGACGGAGCAACGCCGCGUGAGUGAUGAAGGUCUUCGGAUCGUAAAACUCUGUUAUUAGGGAAGAACAAAUGUGUAAGUAACUAUGCACGUCUUGACGGUACCUAAUCAGAAAGCCACGGCUAACUACGUG
rnacentral:rRNA from 1 species